rnacentral:rRNA from 1 species
UACGUAGGGGGCAAGCGUUAUCCGGAUUUACUGGGUGUAAAGGGAGCGUAGGCGGUUCAGCAAGUCAGAAGUGAAAGCCCGGGGCUCAACUCCGGGACUGCUUUUGAAACUGUUGAACUAGAUUGCAGGAGAGGUAAGUGGAAUUCCUAGUGUAGCGGUGAAAUGCGUAGAUAUUAGGAGGAACACCAGUGGCGAAGGCGGCUUACUGGACUGUAACUGACGCUGAUGCUCGAAAGUGUGGGUAUCAAACAGG